rnacentral:lncRNA from 1 species
UAUAGAAAGGUAGAAGUAGUAUGCCCUAAACUCCUUAUGAUAUCCUACAAAUAACCACUUAUUGGAUUGAGGUCCAAGUUCAUCGGUCUAUAAAUAUUUUACAUAAACCAAACAACCCCAAUCCCUAAUAUAAGAGGGUAUCGAUCUACACCCAGUCCAUAUCUCAUAUGAAAGUUUUAUGAUCGAUUUGCUCAGAAUAUUAUUCAGAACAUAAUAAGCAAUCUUAAGAGUAUAACUCCAAAAG